AUUGAACGCUGGCGGCAGGCCUAACACAUGCAAGUCGAACGAGUGGCGGACGGGUGAGUAAUGUCUGGGAAACUGCCUGAUGGAGGGGGAUAACUACUGGAAACGGUAGCUAAUACCGCAUACCAUCAGAUGUGCCCAGAUGGGAUUAGCUUGUUGGUGGGGUAACGGCUCACCAAGGCGACGAUCCCUAGCUGGUCUGAGAGGAUGACCAGGCACACCGGGACUGAGGCACGGGCCAGACUCCCACGGGAGGGCGCAGUGGGGAAUAUUGGAAAAUGGGGGGAAGGCUGAUGCAGCCAUGCCGCGUGUAUGAAGAAGGCCUUCGGGUUGUAAAGUACUUUCAGCGGGGAGGCGUUACCCGCAGAAGAAGCACCGGCUAACUCCGUGCCAGCCGCCGCGGUAAUUC
rnacentral:rRNA from 1 species